ACACCGGUUCUUUUAAGAACCCUCAAAUUUAUAAGAAAGAAUAAAA
rnacentral:ncRNA from 1 species